rnacentral:lncRNA from 1 species
UUUAAUUUAAUUCUUUGAGUGUAUUGUAAAUAUAAUUUGUGUUUGUUAUUUUGCUUCACCUGGCUUACUCUUGGGCCUUCUUACAAUGAGAUCAUCCUUUUUCACCUACACUCAUGCAUUGCUUAUUCGUUGAUUGGGCCCAAUUUAAUUGUUUCAUUACUUUGAAUCCCCAUUCGGCAAGAUGUACCCCCAUUCCCAUGAUGUGUAAUAAUUUUACCGUUUUAUUUCUUUAUUUU